UGCGGAGGGACAUUACACAAUAUGAAAGCGGGCUGGCAUCCUUCGGGGUUACAGCCUUGCUGAAUUAUUCACCCGUGUCUUUUGCGUACUUCUUGUUUCCUUGGUGGGUUCGCCCACCAUAGGACAAACCAUAAACCUUUUGUAAUUGCAAUCAGCGUCAGUAAAAAAAUUAAUAAUUACAACUUUUAACAACGGAUCUCUUGGUUCUGGCAUCGAUGAAGAACGCAGCGAAAUGCGAUAAGUAGUGUGAAUUGCAGAAUUCAGUGAAUCAUCGAAUCUUUGAACGCACAUUGCGCCCUUUGGUAUUCCAAAGGGCAUGCCUGUUCGAGCGUCAUUUGUACCCUCAAGCUUUGCUUGGUGUUGGGCGUCUUGUCUCCAGUUCGCUGGAGACUCGCCUUAAAGUAAUUGGCAGCCGGCCUACUGGUUUCGGAGCGCAGCACAAGUCGCGCUCUCUUCCAGCCAAGGUCAGCAUCCACAAAGCCUUUUUUCAACUUUUGACCUCGGAUCAGGUAGGGAUACCCGGCUGAACUUAAGCAUAUCAAU
rnacentral:rRNA from 1 species